GAUGAACGCUGGCGGCGUGCUUAACACAUGCAAGUCGAGCGAAGCAUGAAAACGGAUUCUUUCGGGAUGAAGGAUUUAUGACUUAGCGGCGGACAGGUGAGUAACGCGUGGGGAACCUGCCCCAUACCGGGGGAUAACAGCUGGAAACGGCUGCUAAUACCGCAUAAGCGCACAGUGCCGCAUGGCACAGUGUGAAAAACUCCGGUGGUAUGGGAUGGACCCGCGUUGGAUUAGCUAGUUGGCAGGGUAAAGGCCUACCAAGGCGACGAUCCAUAGCCGGCCUGAGAGGGUGGACGGCCACAUUGGGACUGAGACACGGCCCAAACUCCUACGGGAGGCAGCAGUGGGGAAUAUUGCACAAUGGGGAAAACCCUGAUGCAGCGACGCCGCGUGAGCGAAGAAGUAAUUUCGGUAUGUAAAGCUCUAUCAGCAGGGAAGAAAAUGACGGUACCUGACUAAGAAGCCCCGGCUAAACUACGUGCCAGCAGCCGCCGCCGUAAG
rnacentral:rRNA from 1 species